GACGAACGCUGGCGGCGUGCCUAAUACAUGCCAGUCGAACGCUGAAGGAGGAGCUUGCUCUUCUGGAUGAGUUGCGAACGGGUGAGUAACGCGUAGGUAACCUGCCUGGUAGCGGGGGAUAACUAUUGGAAACGAUAGCUAAUACCGCAUAACAUUGACUAUUGCAUGAUAGUCAAUUAAAAGGUGCAAAUGCACCACUACCAGAUGGACCUGCGUUGUAUUAGCUAGUUGGUGGGGUAACGGCUCACCAAGGCGACGAUACAUAGCCGACCUGAGAGGGUGAUCGGCCACACUGGGACUGAGACACGGCCCAGACUCCUACGGGAGGCAGCAGUAGGGAAUCUUCGGCAAUGGACGGAAGUCUGACCGAGCAACGCCGCGUGAGUGAAGAAGGUUUUCGGAUCGUAAAGCUCUGUUGUAAGAGAAGAACGAGUGUGAGAGUGGAAAGUUCACACUGUGACGGUAUCUUACCAGAAAGGGACGGCUAACUACGUG
rnacentral:rRNA from 1 species